GACGAACGCUGGCGGCGUGCCUAAUACAUGCAAGUCGACCUUACUUCCGGACGGGUGAGUAACACGUGGGUAACCUACCCAUCAGAGCGGGAUAACACUUGGAAACCCCUGCUAAUACCGCAUACUUAUCGAUGGCCUUGCGGUGCAUUAGCUCGUUGGUGGGGGAACGGCCUACAAAGGCACUGAUGCAUAGCCGACCUGAGAGGGUAAUCGGCCACAUUGGGACUGAGACACUACCCAACCUCCUACGGGAGGCAGCAGUGGGGAAUCUUCGGCAAUGGACGAAAGUCUGACCGAGCAACGCCGCGGGAGUGAAGAAGGUUUUCGGAUCGUAAAACUCUGUUGUUAGAGAAGCGGUAUCUAAAGAGAAAGCCACGGCUAACUACGUGCCAGCAGCCGCGGUAAGAG
rnacentral:rRNA from 1 species